rnacentral:tRNA from 1 species
GCCGGAGUGGCGGAACUGGUAGACGCGCGUGACUUAGGAUCACGUGCCCUCGGGCGUGGGAGUUCGAGUCUCCCCUCCGGCACCA